UUCUUUUGAGCUUACUUCCCAGUCUCGAAUCCGUGUGAGUGUGUGUGUGUGAGUGUGUGUGAGAGUG
rnacentral:pre_miRNA from 1 species